UACGUAGGGUGCAAGCGUUGUCCGGAAUUAUUGGGCGUAAAGAGCUCGUAGGCGGUUUGUCGCGUCUGCUGUGAAAACUCGGGGCUUAACCCCGGGCCUGCAGUGGGUACGGGCAGACUAGAGUGCGGUAGGGGAGACUGGAAUUCCUGGUGUAGCGGUGAAAUGCGUAGAUAUCAGGAGGAACACCGGUGGCGAAGGCGGUUCUCUGGGCAUUACCUGACGCUGAGGAGCGAAAGUGUGGGGAGCGAACAGG
rnacentral:rRNA from 1 species